CGGGUUACCGGUGCACGUCCGGCCGCAGAGUUUCCCAAGGGAAGGCCGGUGUGCCUCUGCGUUACAGGGAAAGGCGCUUAGAACUUUCUGAGUGGUCCCAGAAACCAGUGAGGGCGCAUUUUCCGGCGCGGACAGGGUGGAUGGACUGACUGAAUUAAGUGCACCUGAGGCGUGGAAAGACCGUCGCGACGGCACGAGGCCUCCGUCCUCUUGUUUCCCUUGGUUGAACCAAGGCGGGGCCCGGCUGGGGGGUGAGAAGCACAAGUUAAUUAACAGUUCACUGUCGAGGUCGUAGUCUUGCCUUUUUAAAAUUUGUGCUCUGGUCCUAGCCGUGAGUUAAACAUUUUAUUUUGUCUGAGUUAUACUUCCAUAAUGGUAAAAUGACGUUCAGAAAUGCGGAUUUUCCAAUACAACUGUGACAAACUGUGA